CAAAGGUAGCAUAAUCAUUUGUCUAUUAAUUGUAGACCAGUAUGAAAGGCAACAUGAGGGUCUAACUGUCUCUUAUAAUAAAUCAAUUAAACUGAUCUUCUAGUAAAAAAGCUAGAAUUACACCAUAAGACCAGAAGACCCUGUGAAGCUUAAACUAAACUAUUAAAACUAAUAAUAGCUACUUUCGGUUGGGGCGACCUUGGAAAAAAAAAGAACUUCUAAUAUACCAUAACUGAACCACAUAGGCCCACAAGCCACACACUAAUGACCCAGCAUAGCUGAUCAUUGAACCAAGUUACUCCAGGGAUAACAGCGCUAUCUUCUUCAAGAGCCCAUAUCAAAAAGAAGGUUUACGACCUCGAUGUUGGAU
rnacentral:rRNA from 1 species